rnacentral:misc_RNA from 1 species
GGAAGUAAAAGUGUAACAAGGUUUCCGUAGGUGAACCUGCGGAAGGAUCAUUCAUAAUAAAGUGUUUUAUGGCACUUUUUAAAAAUCCAUAUCCACCUUGUGUGCAAUGUUAGAUCUCGUCAAUCUUGGCGAGAUUUUUAUACAUCAACUCAUUCUUUAACUAAUUUGUCUGAAAAAUAUUAUGAAUACUUAAUUCAAAAUACAACUUUCAACAACGGAUCUCUUGGCUCUC